UGAAAGCAGACCCAGGGGAGAGCCGCGUUUUGUUCUCGCGUGUCGAGGGGUCGCGUGUGAAAAGCUGGCUGUACAGGAGUUUCCCUCUCUGCAGAAAAACCUGCGCCCCGUUUUGAAAUGGGGGGCCUAUCUUCUGGAACUGUCCUGGAUUGCGGUGCAAUUAUGGCCCAGCACCACAAACCAUUCAACCUGAUAAUUAUGAUGAUGAUGAUGUAAUAAGUGGCACCUUAACCAUUGAAUCCUAGGCAUGUCUAUUCUAAAGUAUGUCUUGUUUCAUGAGAUGUAUUAAAGGCAAAUAUGUAUAGGAUUGCAGUCUCCCUAUUCUUUUCCUCUUCCCCGCCCCCAUCCUUUCCUUUUGUAUCAUGUAUGUUAGAUUGCAGAUCUGCAGCCAAGGCCUGUGUUCUUUUUAAAAUUAGUACCUAGAAAUGUUAGGCACUUUCUAAAUAAUAAAAGCAGCAGUAGUAUCUAUUGGUUCAAGGCGCAAUAUACUAUUGAAGUGGAUGGAACAAAACAAGCUUGAAUUAAUAUUCUUAGGUUUAACUGGGUUGAAUAUCAGGUUAUAAGUUGUGUUUUUUUUUGUUUUUUUUAAAGAACUCAGUUGCAGCCAACUUACCCAUUGAAAUCAAUGAACUUGGCUAACAGAAGCUCACUGAUUUAAUUGGGUCUGCUUUGAGUAUAACUUGGUGGGAAAGAAAUUCAACCCUUGCUCGUGUCAGGAUUAGAAUUGUUUCAGGCUUCGAAAGUGAUGGAUUAGUAACAUUUGGAGUGCAUUGAUAAAACACUACAUAAAAGAUACUAAGAGGGGAUCCUUUAUCAGCUGCCAGAUAACAAGUAAUUUUGGAUGAGGCUGCCCCAUAGUUUUAUAGCUGUGAAAAGGGUGUGGGGUGUGGGGAAAUAUACACAUGCAUUAAAAAUAUAAACAACAUACAGAAUAUGUUUUUACUUCAGAGUUUAAAUGUGAGAAUAAUGAUGGAAUGGUUAAUGGGACUUAUUGUAUAAAUGCAUUAAAAAUCCUUUUAUUUAUGUUUAAUUUCAUUAAUACAACAAACUUACACCUUUUAAACUCUACAAUCAAAUGUGAAUGGGUGUCUUGGGGGAAAUUUCAAAUAAGCUAUGUUUGCAGGGUUACUUCAUUGUUUGUGCUGUCCUGGCGUGAGUUGGCCUAGGCACGUCUUUCAGGAUUUAGCUUUAUCUCUGAGCUUUUCUUUUAAGCAGUGUCUUGUGAGUCUUAUGCCUCUGACUUUCAUCCACUUAGGCUGGCUCCUUUGUUAGGAAUCUCAAAAAUCCUGCCAGUUCUUAGAAAAUGGGAAGAACUCUUAACAUUUCAGAAUUGCGUUUGAUUGCAUGGCUGCAAGUGUACUCUGUUUGAACAAUACAUGACAUACUCUACCUGAAUAAUUAAAUAAAUAGAAAAAUGAUUGUA